UACGGAGGGUGCGAGCGUUGUCCGGAAUCAUUGGGCGUAAAGGGCGCGUAGGUGGCCACUUCAAGCGUGCGGUGAAAGUCGGGGGCUCAACCCCUGAUCGGCCGUGGCGACUCGUGGGCUGGAGCACUGUAGAGGCGGGUGGAAUUCCGGGUGUAGCGGUGGAAUGCGUAGAGAUCCGGAAGAACACCAGUGGCGAAGGCGGCCCGCUGGGCAGUGGCUGACGCUGAGGCGCGACAGCGUGGGGAGCAAACAGG
rnacentral:rRNA from 1 species